UCGAGAAUUUUUCACAAUGGGCGAAAGCCUGAUGGAGCGACGCCGCGUGGGGGAUGAAUGGCUUCGGCCCGUAAACCCCUGUCAUUUGCGAUCAACCGUUGUUAUUUAAAAGAUGACAGCCUGAUAGUAGCGAAAGAGGAAGGGACGGCUAACUCUGUGCCAGCAGCCGCGGUAAUACAGAGGUCCCACGCGUUGUUCGGAUUCACUGGGCGUAAAGGGUGCGUAGGUGGCGGGGUAAGUCGGAUGUGAAAUCUCGGGGCUCAACUCCGGAAUGGCAUUGGAAACGACGCUGCUCGAGGAUUGGAGGGGGGAGGGGAAUACUUGGUGGAGCAGUGAAAUGCGUAGAUAUCAAGUAGAACACCAGUGGCGAAGGCGAGUCCCUGGACAACUCCUGACACUGAGGCACGAAAGCUAGGGGAGCAAACAG
rnacentral:rRNA from 1 species